GCGUUUUUUUACCGUCCUCGUUUGCACCACACAUGAAAAUAUCUCCUCUCUUGCCUUCUCCCCCGUGCUCUCCGCCCCUCCCCCGAUCCCCUCCUUCCCUACCAUCGCGCCGCCGGCUCCACGCAGCGGCCGACGCGGCCUUCUCUCCCCGGCGCUCGAGAUGCAACAGCGGGUGCGGCAGUUCUCGGUCCAGCCGGGUCGGGCGCAGGUCGCCGGCAUCACUCACUGCGUGCCGUGAUUCUGGAUCGGGCGCAGAUCUUUGCGCUCCCACCUCUCCUCCUCCUCCUCUCUCUCUCUCUCGCGUGCCGCCAUCGUUGCAAGGAGCAGGGGAGAUAGGUGCCGAGGACAAGAAGCAACGGGUUGGUUGCGGUGGGCUUGAGCUGCUGGGGAGAUGGAGGAGGCCGUCGUGGUUCGUCAUGGAGGCGGCUCCCCCGGCAAGCUGGUUGAGCACGGAGGAAUGAGGAAUAGAUAAAUGAGGCAUGGCGUAAGCGUAGGGGUCAGCCAGGGCACGACGCAAGAGUCUGCCCAUCUCCUCUCAAAUUUGUCUGUUCCAGGUUUGUCUGACAGAGGAAGUCAAUUGAGGAGUAUGUUGACACCAGAGUCCAAGACCAUGGGUGAAGCAUUUUAAUGAAUCUGUUGUUUUGGCUGAGCAGAUCAAACUGUACGCUUGGACCAUGACUAAUGGUGUGCCAAUGUGGUGGUGACUGCCACACUCACACAGAUUCUUGGUACUCUCUGUAACCUGCAGAUGAUGGGUGGCGAAUCCGGCAACCACAGAUCCAUUCCCCUGCAUAAUUUUUGUUUUUUCAUUUGAUUUGGUACAAGGCCUACUCAGAAUGGGUUCCCUGAUCUCAAAAUUGUCAGUUUUCUUGCCUUUAGUUUAUAGGUACCUUAACAAAUACAUGUAUUUACCAUAUUGGCAGUCAUCACCAUACGGCAUUCAUUCUUCAGGAUCUCAUAUUUGAGGUUAGCAGUUCGAAUUAAUGUGAGAGCUUGCAUGUUUAUAGUUCUAACUAGCUUUUAGUUUAGCGUAGGAUAAGUCUUCCAUGAAUUCUUAGUUAGCUAUUUAUUGUUGCUGGCUGUGCAUGACACUGCAAUUUUUUCAUAAUUUUCUUCAAAGGUUAACUAUUUUCUUAUCUACAAUUAACUGGUUGUUGCUCCUAGCCGUUAGCAAGUCUGUCGUCCCCGACCACCCUCUCAGUCAUCUAUACAACUGUGGUUCAUGCCUGCGUGCUAUCCGCUCCUAAAUUCUCACACCAUGUCAGGUGUUUAGAAGUGAUGAUCAUUGUGGUCUUUAGUUGUCAUGGUUGUAAUCCUAGCGCAUGGGCUUUUGCAGGCUGGUCCAACCGGAGUUGGUUGAUGGCAGGGGCUGCGCUCCGGCAACCGUAUGGCUGAAGAAGGGAUGCAAAUGGAAAGAAUUUUGAGAUGCAUAAACUCCCGUCUUUGAAUCAGAAACAGAAGAUUGUUAGUUUUCUUGUUUCUUAGUUAUGCUACCCUGCUUCACGUAGGUUUUACAGUGAAAAGCUGAAGAAGUUGUGACGGCGAUGAAAGGACUGAAAGAUUUGCUCGAAGCAAAGACAUCUAGCCGAGAUACAUAUGCAACGAAGAGGAGGGAUCUUAUGUAGAAUAUGCAACAUCCAUGGUGCUGAAGGAAAAUGUUUCAUGUUUUUGGUCUAACCCAUCGUAAGCUUGUCUCGUGGAUCCAUCUAUAUGAGAACCUUCUCAGUGGGUGUCAAAUGGAUUCGUCGCACGCCAAACAGAGCACCCGAGGAGAAGAGGAGGAUGCUCUGAAGAGAGGAAAUGAUAUGUUUUUUUUGUUUUAAGAGCAAGAUAGAAGUUGAUAUGUAGUCCCCUGACUUCUAUACUGAUCCACAACACUUCACAAAAGAGUAUAUAUCAACAUCGUAUGCUACAAAAAAGCAAAGUAAUCUCUUUUAGUUCUUGGUUCAAAUUCGUCUUCGCGCCAAAUGGCGCGACAGGUCAUCUAGUACAAGAAAGGAUAUGUUUUUUUUUGUUUUAAGAGCAAGAUAGAAGUUGAUAUGUAGUCCCUUGACUUCUAUACUGAUCCACAACACUUCACAAAAGAGUAUAUAUCAACAUCGUAUGCUACAAAAAAGCAAAGUAAUCUCUUUUAGUUCUUGGUUCAAA